GUCUCCGGCAUCGAACUGCGUGGGUCUAUCUAUUUCACAGGUGGUUUCGCCUCGGCGUUUUAAUGGCCGGUUGCGACCUCUCGUUUGGUUCCUGUGCUCGAUAUCGAAUUCGGUAGUUGGAUGGAUUGUUCUUCCCCGUCAUGGUUUACUGAUCCCCCCGCGCCUCGUGCGGCGGCGGCGGAUAUUGUGCGGGCAUCGACGUUUCCCUUUCUAGCCGUUGUACCCCGUUUGGAGCUUCGGCUUGUGAUGGCACGUAAGAUGCUACCGACACUAUCGGGUACGGAGAUUUUUUGGCCACCGCAUCGGCCUUCGACCCUUGCGAACGUAAUGUAUCGAAGCUCUCUCGCUUCUGAAUGUACG
rnacentral:misc_RNA from 1 species